rnacentral:rRNA from 1 species
GAUGAACGCUGGCGGCGUGCCUAAUACAUGCAAGUCGAGCGAACAGACGAGGAGCUUGCUCCUCUGACGUUAGCGGCGGACGGGUGAGUAACACGUGGAUAACCUACCUAUAAGACUGGGGUAACUUCGGGAAACCGGAGCUAAUACCGGAUAAUAUAUUGAACCGCAUGGUUCAAUAGUGAAAGACGGUUUUGCUGUCACUUAUAGAUGGAUCCGCGCCGCAUUAGCUAGUUGGUAAGGUAACGGCUUACCAAGGCAACGAUGCGUAGCCGAUCUGAGAGGGUGAUCGGCCACACUGGAACUGAGACACGGUCCAGACUCCUACGGGAGGCAGCAGUAGGGAAUCUUCCGCAAUGGGCGAAAGCUUGACGGAGCAACGCCGCGUGAGUGAUGAGGGUCUUCGGAUCGUAAAACUCUGUUAUUAGGGAAGAACAAAUGUGUAAGUAACUAUGCACGUCUUGACGGUACCUAAUCAGAAAGCCACGGCUAACUACGUG